GUCGAGCGGUAACAGGAGAAGCUUGCUUCUCGCUGACGAGCGGCGGACGGGUGAGUAAUACUUAGGAAUCUACCUAGAUAGUGGGGGAUAGCUCGGGGAAACUCGAAUUAAUACCGCAUACGACCUACGGGAGAAAGGGGGCAACUUGUUGCUCUCGCUAUUAGAUGAGCCUAAGUCGGAUUAUCUAGAUGGUGGGGUAAAGGCCUACCAUGGCGACGAUCUGUAGCUGGUCUGAGAGGAUGAUCAGCCACACCGGGACUGAGACACGGCCCGGACUCCUACGGGAGGCAGCAGUGGGGAAUAUUGGACAAUGGGGGCAACCCUGAUCCAGCCAUGCCGCGUGUGUGAAGAAGGCCUUUUGGUUGUAAAGCACUUUAAGCAGUGAAAAAAACUCCAUGGUUAAUACCCAUGGACGAUGACAUUAGCUGCAGAAUAAACACCGGCUAACUCUGUGCCAGCAGCCGCGGUAAUACAGAGGGUGCAAGCGUUAAUCGGAAUUACUGGGGCGUAAAGCGAGCGUAGGUGGGCUUGAUAAGUCAAAUGUGAAAGCCCC
rnacentral:rRNA from 1 species